GAUGAACGCUGGCGGCGUGCCUAAUACAUGCAAGUCGAGCGAACAGACGAGGAGCUUGCUCCUCUGACGUUAGCGACGGACGAGUGAGUAACACGUGGUUAACCUACCUAUAAGACUUGGAUAACGUCGGGAAACCGGAGCUAAUACCGGAUAAUAUAUUUAACCUCAUGGUUGAAUAGUUAAAUACGUUUUGGCUGACACUGAUAGAUGUAUCCGCGCCGGAUUAGCUAGUUGGUAAGGUAACGGCUUACCAAGGCAACGAUGCGCAGACGACCUGAGAGGGUGAUAGCCCACACUGGAACUGAGACACGGUCAAGACUCCUACGGGAGGCAGCAGUAGGCAAUGUUCCGCAAUGGGCGAAAGCAUGACGGAGCAAGGGCGCGUGAGUGAUGACGGUCUUCGGAUCGUAAAACUCUGUUAUUAGGGAAGAACAAAUGUGUAAGUAACUAUGCACGUCUUGACGGUACCUAAUCAGAAAGCAACGGCUAACUACGUG
rnacentral:rRNA from 1 species